CUAAGUUUGAUGGCGACCGGCGCACGGGUGAGUAACACGUAUCCAACCUGCCGAUGACUCGGGGAUAGCCUUUCGAAAGAAAGAUUAAUACCCGAUGGCAUAGUUCUUCCGCAUGGUGGAACUAUUAAAGAAUUUCGGUUAUCGAUGGGGAUGCGUUCCAUUAGGCAGUUGGUGGGGUAAUGGCCCACCAAGCCUUCGAUGGAUAGGGGUUCUGAGAGGAAGGUCCCCCACAUUGGAACUGAGACACGGUCCAAACUCCUACGGGAGGCAGCAUG
rnacentral:rRNA from 1 species